ACCAACAUUUCUUUCAGCUGAGAGCUCAAAAUCACAGCCUGAACUGAGGAGAUUGCUGUGAUGGUUUUCAUCGAGUCUGGGCAGCAAUCACGAUUUUCGAGAGGCAGGAUGCUGGACUUAGCCCUUCACUGGCGUCAGCUGAACAGUACUUAGUACACUAAUUCUAUAUAGAAACCUGAGAAAGUGAGGAGUUUCUAACCUUUCCCUUUUGGGAUUCUGGUAAAAUCAAGCCUUAAAGUGAGCUGAUAUCCUGCAUUUGGAGGAUCAACAACGUCCACGACGUUUGGACUAAUGCCCUUUACCAUCUCCAUAGUGUAGCGUGAGAGUCGGGAUGUGAGUAGGAACGCUAGAGACAGGAUUGGUGUUGAUAAUGAUAUGUAGACAUAGUCUGGAGCUGAUGCAGAAUGCUGCCAAACAUCAAAACAGACAGUGAAAAUCUCACGAGAAAACUCGAAAUAAUGGAUUCUGAGAUUCUUUAGGGAAUUAGUCCAGUUAUUGUUGAUCAAUCAUACCUGAAUAUGGUAUUCCACCGAGCCAAAUUCGUGCAGAUGAUGAUCAAUCUCGAUAGGCGUUUCAGCUCUGUCUCAGUAACAGAUAACAAUGCAAAGAAUCUCCUUCAGUGCUGGCGAUGACCUCUCAAAGCACGCCGCCAUCCUCUCCCUCGAUCUGCUGGUGCGAUUAGAGGCCCGGGGAUUGCAUGCUGCAAGAAGGAAGGAUUGAAGAAAAUAUGGGGAAUUGUUAGUUUACUGUUAGUGUGAUGGUUGAGGUAGCACUUUAGAGUGAAAUGCAAGUCCCAUGUUGUAAUCAUAUUGAGCCAACUUUAAAGCAAUCUAAAUAGCCACCAAGUUUUCUUUUUGUUCA